rnacentral:rRNA from 1 species
UUUCCCCUACGGGGGGCAGCAGUGAGAAAUAUUGGUCGAUGGUCGGGAGACUGAACCAGCCAAGUAGCGUGAAGGAUGACUGCCCUAUGGGUUGUAAACUUCUUUUAUAUGGGAAUAAAAUGUUCCACGUGUGGGAUUUUGUAUGUACCAUAUGAAUAAGGAUCGGCUAACUCCGUGCCAGCAGCCGCGGUAAUACGGAGGAUUCGAGCGUUAUCCGGAUUUAUUGGGUUUACAGGGAGCGUAGGUGGAUUGUUAAGUCAGUUGUGAAAGUUUGCGGCUCAACCGUAAAAUUGCAGUUGAAACUG